UUACCUGAUAAAUUUCGAAAAAUAUUAAGUCUACAGCCCAUUUUGCGUUACAAUCUAUACAACCCUUCGCCCCGGUGUUAUCCAUACAAAUAAAUUAAUUGACAGUUUCUUCUGUACACGUGUCCACUCCUCCUUUCUUCUGUUCUCUCUUCAUCUCUUCUCUCUCCUCCCUCCCAUACCAAAUAUGAAUUUUAUGAUUACAUCUUAGGAAGAUAUCAAAUCUUUCCAAAUCCACCUCGAGAAGGUACCAAAUCUAUACAAUGAUUACACCUUGGAAAGGUACUAAAUCUUUCCAAAUCUACCUCGACAAGGUACCAAAUCUAUCCAAUGAUUACACCUCGGGAAGGUAAUAAAUCUUUCCAAAUCCACCUCGGAAAGAUACCAAAUCUAUCCAAUUUUUUUUUUUUUGACAAAAUUCUCAUUUCCUUAUCUCGGGAAGGGACAAUUCUCAACUUGAUUCGGGUGUGUAUAUAGGAGAACCUAUACUCAUGAGGUUAGAACCUUGAAAAAAUUUUCUAGUUGCCUCUUCUUCCUCUGUUCCUCAUGCACUAAACUUCACUCUCUUUAUACUAAGUUUUAUAUUUCUUUUGUAUUUUUUCCUGGAUCUCUGCGAGCUACUUGGGUUUAUGUUGUACCAUCCUGAAGACGUGCCGACGAGGUGGAAGGUGAUCGUUGUAUCGCUAGAAGUGUUUGACGGAACCUAUACAAAUAAACUAAUUGACAGUUCCUUCUGUAUACGUGUCCACUCCUCCUUUUUCCUCUUCUCUCUUCAUCUCUUCUCUCUCCUCCUUCCCAUACCAAAUAUGAAUUUCAUGAUUACACCUCGGGAAGAUACCAAAUCUUUCCAAAUCCACCUCGGGAAGGUACCAAAUCUAUGCAAUGAUUACACCUCGAAAAGGUACCAAAUCUUUUCAAAUCCACCUCGAGAAGGUACCAAAUCUAUCAAAUGAUUACACCUCGGAAAUGUUACAAAUCUUUCCAAAUCCAUCUCGGGAAUGUACCAAAUCUAUCCAAAUUUUUUUUGACAAAAUUCUCAUUUCCUUAUCUCAGGAAGGGACAAAAUUCUCAACUUGAUUCGGGUGUAUAUAUAGGAGAACCUAUACUCAUGAGGUUAGAACCUUGAAAAAUUUUUCUAAUUGCUUAUUCUUCCUCUGUCCCUCAUGCACUAUACUUCACUUCUCUUUACACUAAGUUUUACAUUUCUUUUAUAUUUUUUACUGGAUCUCUGAGAGCUACUUGGGUUUAUGUUGUACCACCCUGAAGAUGUGUUGACGAGGUGGAAGGUGGUCGUUGUAUCGUUAGGAGUGAUUGGCGGAACCUAUACAAAUAAACUAAUUGACAGUUCAUUCUAUACACGUGUCCGCUCCUCCUUUCUGCAACUCCUCCUUUCUCCUCUUUUCUCUUCAUCUUUCCUCUCUCCUCCCUCCUAUACCAAAUAAAUAUGAAAUUCAUGAUUACACCUUGGGAAGGUACCAAAUCUUUCCAAAUCCAUCUCGGAAAGGUACCAAAUCUAUGCAAUGAUUACACCUCAGAAAGGUACCAAAUCUUUUCAAAUCCACCUCGACAAGGUACCAAAUCUAUCCAAUAAUUACACCUCAGGAAGGUACCAAAUCU
rnacentral:lncRNA from 1 species